UUUUUUGAAAAUAAAUUUAUUUUGAUGUUAAAAAUACAGCUCUACAAAGGUGUGGUCAUGAUUUUUUUUCUUCUAAAAAAACAUUCAUAGCUUUGAUUUUGAAUCUGCUUAAACAAAUUAAAAUUAUUUUAUUUUGCUUAUUUAAUUAAAAAUAUAAAAUAUUUUAAUUAUAAAAAAGUAAAAAUAAAUAAUAUUAUAUUAAUUAAUAAAGGGAACCCUAUCAAUUAGUGGCGGCAAUAUAAUGAUAAGCUUGCUAAUAUAUAUAUUUUUGGCUUGGGGGAAUGAAAACCUUAAAAUUAAAAAUUCCCUCCCUACAGCCGCUACUGCUACCGCUACGAAUUCUAUAUAAAUUUUCAUUCUCACUCAUGAUUCAUUCAGUUUUCAAUUUCUGUCAACUAUCAAAAGGAGAAGCUCCCACUAUCAAAUCCAAUCAGGUACGUUUAAAAUUAGAAAAGCCUUAAAAUUAAUGUUUCAUUGUAAUUGUUCUAGGUUAAACACGUGAAAGGCAUCUGAUAUUUACUUUUCAUUCGUUUUUCAUCUGUUAAAAAGCUUUGAUUCACUAUUUUUAUAUUAAUUUAUCCUCUAUGUGUAAUAUUCAAUUUUUUCCAUGAAGCAGAAGCAAACAUCAUGGCUCGACGAUGCAAGUUGCGGAAAGGGAAUUCCAUCAAUAUUAACUUGGAAAAUGAGACUGAAAAUAAUGUUAACUAGAACUUUCAAGAAACUCAAGAGUUACACCAAAAUCAGGCUUCAAAUUUUCAAGGGAAUACUAGUCAGAAGACAAUGAGGUAUCAUUAUGAAGGCCAUUUUAUAUUUUCACCAAAUAGAAUAUAUGAAAAUGGUAGGUUUAUGGAGAAACCUAAUUUUGAUGUUGAUUUCAUCUCAUUUUUUGAUAUAUUGGAUGACUUGAAAAAGGAUUGUGGAUUUGAUGUUAUAAAAGGAGAUAAAUUUUAUUACUUGAAGGCUGAUAAAGCUCUUAGUGAUCUUGAUGCAUUGAUAGAGGUUAAAGAUGAUACAGAUGUGAAAAAUAUGAUGGAUAGUUAUAAGAAGUUCCCUUCGAAACCCAUUGAUAUAUACACUCUAUUUCGAGAUUAUGAUAUUUUACCAAAUGGACUUGGUGACGAGCUACCCGCAGUUACCAUUGAUCACACUUCUAAUCAACUUCAAAAUCCAAAUGCAACUGCAGCAACAUGUUUACUCAUUUAAUUUUAUUUAAACAAUUGAUUAUGUUUACUUGUUCUAUGUACAGAAAUUCUUGUUAUUAUAUGAUUAUUGUUUUACUUUUGUUUUGAAAUAGGUUCCAAUACAAUUAAAAGAAAAACUAGAGGACCAACACGAUGCUUGAAAAUCACAUAAUUGGAGAAUGGGCAAAAAUUGCCAGUAGAAUCUGAUGAAGAUGAUCAAGCUAUUGGUGAUAAUGCUACUGCAUUUGUUUGGUUUUUAGGACAAACUAUUAGAAGUGUGUCGUGUUGUCCAUUGCAAGUGAAACAAUGGAAUAAGAUUACCGAUGAUAAGCUCGACCACAUGUGGUCUACCAUAUUGGUACAAAAAUUUAUAUUAAAUUACAUCCAUUAUAAAAUGAUUAUAAUUUUUUUAGUUCUAUUAAGUAUAGAGACACUUUGUUUCUUACUUCUUUGCUAAAAGGAAAAGUUCACUUUUGAGUAUUCUGAUGCAAGAAAUGGAGCAAUUUUCGGUCAUAUGAAUGCAUUAUAUAGGUAUUAUAGGCAUAAGUUGAAGAAGAAGUACUUUGAUUCAAAGGCAACUUAUUCACUUCGUCUCCAAAACAAGCCUAAGGAUAUAUAUGGAUGUAAAAGAUUGGAAGUAUUUGGUUAAUCUUUGGACAGAAAAUGCAUUUCAGGAGAGAAGCAACAAAAAUAAGACAAAUAGAUGCAAGCGUUCUAUGCCGCCAUACACGGGGACAAAAAGCUUUGCUCGGCUGAGAGAUCAUAUGAAGAAAAAAAAUGGAAAAACACCUUCUCGCUUAGAGCUUUUUCUUGAAUCCAGAAAGAGAAAGCAAGGCAAAGAAAUUGAUCCAAUAUCACAAGAAGCCAUUGAAAAGUUUCAGCAACUAAAGAAACAACGAGAAGAAUGACAAAUUUCACUGGAUGAUGAUGCUAUGUUUGCUGAUGUACUUGGGCCAGAAAAAAAUGGUUAUGUACAUGCUUAUGGUCCUGGAAAAAAUGUCACGGAAUAUUUUGGUGCUAGACCUACAAAGAUAAAACUACUUAGACAAUUUGAUACUUCAAGAAGAGAAGCAAAGCGUGUCCAACAAAUUCAAAAAGAAGCAAGUGAACAAGUAAAUGAUGUUAAGAAGCAAAUGGAUGAGAAACUUGCAGAGAUGAAUAGAAUAUGAGAGCAGAAAUUCAAGAUGCUUUUGGAGAAAAACAAUAAUAUUGCAUCACCUAUGGAGGAUUCCCAAGAUGAUGAAAUUGGAGGAUGAUUUGCAGUAUAUUUGAAGUUUUGUAUUUUGAAGCAGCCAGCAGCCUUAUAAUACUACUUUUAGAAAUUUUAGAUAUUAAUAUUAGUGUUAGUAUAGUAUUAUAAUUUCAAGUAUUUUUAGUGUGAUUGCUUUAUGACUUAAAUUAGU